rnacentral:ncRNA from 1 species
UAAAAACAAAUGAAAGAGACGAUACUAUAGAGAAUUAAUAGAGAGUGACUAGUUGGUGGAAAGUCAUAUGAAUUUAUAGUAUAGAUCACUCUGGAUGUAUCUGUUUGAUAUUUAGAAUAGAUCGGGUAAUACCGUUAAAUAUAAAUUAAGUGCACUAUAGUUAGUGAAUUAAGGUGGUACCACGGUUAUAAUCGUCCUUAUA